rnacentral:rRNA from 1 species
CGUAAGCGCACGCAGGCGGUCUGUCAAGUCGGAUGUGAAAUCCCCGGGCUCAACCUGGGAACUGCAUUCGAAACUGGCAGGCUAGAGUCUUGUAGAGGGGGGUAGAAUUCCAGGUGUAGCGGUGAAAUGCGUAGAGAUCUGGAGGAAUACCGGUGGCGAAGGCGGCCCCCUGGACAAAGACUGACGCUCAGGUGCGAAAGCGUGGGGAGCAAACAGGAUUAGAUACCCUGGUAGUCCACGCCGUAAACGAUGUCGAUUUGGAGGUUGUGCCCUUGAGGCGUGGCUUCCGGAGCUAACGCGUUAAAUCGACCGCCUGGGGAGUACGGCCGCAAGGUUAAAACUCAAAUGAAUUGACGGGGGCCCGCACAAGCGGUGGAGCAUGUGGUUUAAUUCGAUGCAACGCGAAGAACCUUACCUGGUCUUGACAUCCACAGAACUUGCCAGAGAUGCUUUGGUGCCUUCGGGAACUGUGAGACAGGUGCUGCAUGGCUGUCGUCAGCUCGUGUUGUGAAAUGUUGGGUUAAGUCCCGCAACGA